UGUCCUUGGUCCCUGUGUUCUGUUAUUGGUCCCUGUGUUCUGUCCUUGAUCCCUGUGUCCUGUCCUUGGUCCCUGUGUUCUGUUAUUGGUCCCUGUGUUCUGUCAUUGGUCCUUGUGUUCUGUCAUUGGUCCUUGUGUUCUGUCAUUGGUCUUUAUGUUCUGUUCUUGGUCCCUGUGUUCUGUCCUUUGUCCCUGUGUUCUGUAAUUAGUCCCUGUAUCCUAUGCUUGGUCCCUGUGUUCUGUCCUUGGUAUUUGUGUUCUGGUCUUGGUCCCUGUGUUCUAUCCUUGGUCCCUGUGUUCUGUUUUUCUUGGUCCCCAUGUUCAGUUCUUCGGUACCUGUACUGUUGGUAUUGGGUUCCUGAAUCCUCCUAAGUGGGCUUCUGCGUUCUUACUAUGGCUUCCUCUUUUCUGUAAAUCCAUGUUAUCCUGUAAUGUCAGUGAAUCUCCAAUUCCAACUUGUGGGAUCACAAUGGCCCAGGGUCGCAGGAAGUGUCCCUGGAGCUUCAACCCCGGAUUCCUCAAACAUGAGAUUUGCGGUGAAUUGUGAGAGCAGCGAUAAGCCGGCAUGGACCGCCCUUGGAUUUCCCCACCAAAGAAGAUUUUAUGAGAAAUAACCUGGCUGAGGGAGCCUGCCAGCUACCGUGCCUGGGGUCACCAAACUGAAAGCGUGGGGAUUGUUCCAGG
rnacentral:lncRNA from 1 species